UUUAGGUUGAACCAGGAGCGAAUGCGUCUAGGGCUGGCUCCAGCUGUCUAAACAGUCGACGUAGGAGGAGGACAGGCUCGGACAUGGCGAGAAACAGCACUGACCCGCCUGAGAGUUAUCGGUGAUCUUUGCAACCCGUGAGGCCUUAACAUUUUUGUCUUUCUUUUCUUUUUUGACAUAUAUAUGUGUUUAUAUGUAUGUAUGUGUGUAUAUACUCUCAUCUAUACAUGCAUAUAUAUGUAGCAAGAAAAUCCCUUGAUUUACCAAGCCAAAAGAAAAAUAAUUAUAAUCGUUAAUGGACUGAAUGAACAACGCGUAUAGAUGUAUAGCCAAAGAGGUAUAUGCCAUGAACCCGGAGAUUACAAUGGACAGCAUUGGGAAUUUGCAUGGUGGAAUAAGCCAUGAGCAAUCCACGGGCGAUCUAAUGAACAGCCAGCAGCGGCAGGCAGUUUCAGCGGCUCAUCGGGAACUGACGACCAGAUCUGCAAUGGUAUCCAGCAUGGCCUCCAUCCUGGAUGGGACUGGGGACUACCGGCCGGAGCUCUCUAUCCCGCUGCACCCGGCAAUGAGCAUGUCCUGCGAGUCUCCGCCUGGCAUGGGCAUGAGCAGCACCUAUACCACACUCACACCACUCCAGCCCCUGCCUCCUAUAUCCACCGUCUCGGAUAAGUUCCACCACCCUCACCACCACCAUCAUCACCACCACCACCAUCACCACCAGCGACUCGCGGGCAACGUGAGCGGGAGCUUUACCCUGAUGCGGGAUGAAAGGGGGUUGCCCGCUGCCAUGAACAAUCUCUACAGCCCCUACCACAAGGACAUGCCCGGGAUGACUCAGAACCUCUCUCCUCUGUCCAGCAACCCUCUCGGAAAUGGCCUGGCUUCCAUCCACAACAGUCAUCAGGGCAUCCAGGGCUACGGGUCCAACAGUCACGACAAGAUGCUCAGCCCAAACUUCGAAGCCCACCCGGCCAUGCUGGCCAGAGGGGACCAGCACCUAUCUCGGGGUCUCGGCGCCCCGUCGGCGGGAAUGAUGCCCCAUUUGAACGGCAUGCAUCACCAUCACCACCACGGUCACUCAAGUCACCAUCAGUCUCACGGGCCCGUGUUGGCUUCAAGCCGCGAUCGGCCUCCGUCCUCCUCCGGCUCGCAGACCACCAGCUCGGGCCAGCUGGAAGAAAUUAAUACCAAAGAAGUAGCACAAAGGAUCACAGCGGAACUCAAACGCUACAGCAUACCGCAGGCGAUCUUCGCUCAGAGGGUGCUGUGCCGUUCGCAGGGAACCCUCUCUGACCUUUUAAGAAACCCCAAGCCUUGGAGUAAACUUAAAUCGGGACGGGAGACCUUCAGGCGGAUGUGGAAAUGGCUGCAGGAGCCUGAGUUCCAGAGAAUGUCAGCCUUAAGGCUCGCAGCGUGCAAACGCAAAGAACAAGAACAGAACAAAGAGAAGAGCAAUACACCAAAGAAGCCACGGCUAGUUUUCACUGACCUCCAACGCCGAACUCUUUUCGCCAUUUUCAAAGAAAAUAAGCGUCCUUCCAAGGAGAUGCAGAUCACAAUCUCGCAACAGCUCGGUCUGGAGUUAAGCACCGUCAGUAAUUUCUUCAUGAACGCCCGGAGGCGAAGCCUGGACAAGUGGCAGGACGAAGCCAUGUCAAGCCCAGGCGCUUCAUCGUCGACCUCAAGCACUUGUACCAAAGCAUGAUUGAGGACAGUGCACCUGAACUGGGCACAACUCAACACCUUUUCCUUAUUUCUUUUUUGCUUUUUGAAGAGGCUGUUCAGUGGUGAGUGCAUAAGCACAAUUUUCAUUAAACACCUUUUUUUAAUAUAUAAAAAAAGUUUAACACCUUUUUUUAAAUAUAUAAAAAAAGGGACGGCACAUACUUUAAUGCGUCUGGCAUUUAAGAUUAUCCCCCAAAUCACUUGAGCGUUUGCUUAUAAACUGACAUGGAACCUAGGAGUCAGUUCGGUGAAUUUUCGGAUGUAAUCAGGCAGGGUACAAUGAGUUAUGUUGCCAAGCAAUAACCUGUCUAGUGCUUUGCCUGAAGGUUAAGGGAAAGUUAGAUCCGUUUGUGAGUUGGUUCAGUUGUCAGUUCGUGGUCAAGCGACACAACGAUUUUAUAUGUGGGGAAACAUGCACAGAUUCCGAAAGUAAGUGACGCCCAUUUUGAAGAUGUUUUCUUUAAAGCAGUAGAAUUAUUGGAGAGCAUUUGUACAAUCAUGCUACCUCAUCACUAAUCGGACUAUUUAACAAUGGGCUGUUGGUGAUGAGUAUGCAAGCACAAACUAUCAAAAGCAUCCUGGACAUUUCCAAGCCUACUUUCACGCUGCACAAUUUGAUUUUUUUGAAUGAUGCUUUCAAGCGUGCGCUCGCCACCAUAUCCACUCCCUGGGUAGAGCUGAUAACGGCGAGGAUGCAAGCACAACAUUCAAGCGCAUUCCUUUCAAUCAUGAAUUCUGUGACAUUCUGUAAUAUCCAGCCAUAUGGUCUCCUUUUUCCUGUUUGCUCUCUGAAAAUAUCAGGACCGUUGAGUCCUAACAGCAGCUGUUGGCUGUUGGAAGGGUAAUUAUUAUUUGUCUUAAUAGUUGUAGGUCAUUAUUGCAAUCCUAUACUUAGUUUCUAUUCAUGAGCAAGGCUAGUUUAGUACUGCAAACGCACUGAGUAGCCCAUGGAAAGGGGGCUUCCCAUGGUGAGUGCAGAAGCACAAGCAUUAACUAGCUUUAUUAUUCCUAAAGCGAGGCAUCAACGCAUCUUUUUCCUCCCACAUGUGCACAUUCACCACUGAACGGGCCCUUUAAGAACACCGUUGGCGUGUUCAAAGGCAAGCCAAAGGCUUUAAAGACUCUCGUGAAGACACUUGAUACUUUUUUUUCUAUUUAUUAUUAAAUCGAAACCAAAGAAACUUUUUCUGCACCUAAUUGUUCUGCAACAAACUUGUAAAAAAAAGCACGUCAGGAAACAACGUAGGCACUGUGUUUCAAUGGAUGUCUUAGUCGUUUAGGGAAGCAGAGUUUUGAAAGGGUUAGAAAGCAAAGCAGCAACAAGAAGGAAGCAAUGCCAGGGUCAUCGCUGCUUCAUUUGACGACACUCUCCGCCUCUUAAAGUUGAAUAUUGUCUUUAACGUGUGCCUAUGCAGUUUUUGAGAGACGUUGUACAGAACAACAGAAAACCUCUUCCGCUUCGACCAAAGUCAGCUUCACAGAGACGUGGAUCUGCUUGUAUUUUUUUAUGCAACACAGUUGAGUGCUGUUUGCAUUACUGGCCUGUCCUUCAAUGCCCAUCUUAUUAAGAGAGGGAAAUGCCCACCCAAUUUUACAAUUUCCUCUUAAUUAGCGAUUCCAGUGGAACAGGAUACCGACAAAUGGAUCCAAAUGGCUCCAAGCACAAGAUGUUAAGGUGCAGAUUAAACACCUCUACCAAAGACAGCAACCUAUUCCCAUAUCCCGCUCAGCAUCUUGUGCAUGGAGUCCAUGCACACGUCUAAGAUGAGUUCAACUUUCAAGAAUAUCAGGAAAUAUCCAAGAAUUUUACAAAAAGAAGACAGUGCAGUAUUGGUAUACUGUAUUCCAAAGGCUUUAUCCAGGAAUGUGGAAGCUUUUAUCCUUAAACAAAGCUAUAUCCAAAGAAACCAAACCGAUUGGACCAGCAAAUUGAAGGUAGUCCCCACAGAGAGAAUCAGCGGUAUUUUCCCUGUGUGGCUCUUAUUAUUUUUUACCAACUUGGCUGUUAAAAAUAUACCAUAUUGUGGCAACAAGUUCAGACAGCUGACAGUGAUAUUUGCAUUGCAAGUCACAAUACCCACAUGCCAUGUAAGUGAUUUAACUAACGAAAGCUGAUUUCUAAACAAGUUAGUAAUUUUUAAAGUGCUUUUGACUGUAGGUUAGAAAUUUUAAAAAAGCUAUAUUAGCUUUAUUAUUAUUAUUUGUAUUAUUAUUUGGGGUAUUUAUUGUGAACUAUAUAUUUAAACAGUGAUUUUUCUCUUAUUUAUCAAAUACUAUAAAUGCAUUUAAAAUAAAAGAUGUAGUGCUUCGGAUGGCCUCGAGUUUUCACACUGUCUGUUUAUUUUAUAAAGCAGACACGGUUAAUUCUUUAACUUUCACUCUUUUGUUUUUGUUAGAAAAAAACAAAUUACCACUGGGAAUAACAUUGCAAGCACAUAACUAUACAUUUAACACAAAUCCACUUCUGCUUCCUGUAAAAUUGUGGAAGCAUUAGGUUUUCCCAAACUGUAUCAGUAGGCAUCCAAUAAUAGUUGAACUUGGUGCUUUCUGUGCAAAAACUACCUGAGCCAAUCUAAUGUUUUUAUUAUUGUUACCUGUUUUUGGAUUUUAGGGCCUUCAAGCACUUCAUCUUUUAUUCUGAAUUUUCAAUGCCAAAGAAUUAUUCCACUAUAAGCGCUGAAAGAUAACCCUUCAGUCUUACUAAUAAUUACAUGGAUGAGCAAUGAUUUUAUAUGGAACAAUACAGCAUGUACUGAUGGGAAAAUGAAUCCACAACAGGAAAAACUUUAAUGAUCUUUCCACCAUUGUUUAGCCCUGUGUCCAAAUGACUUUAGAUAACUUCUUUUGAUUGUGAAGAAGUCUUUAGCAUUAGUGACAAGAGACAGAAAACAAAACCCUGAACUCGCUGCUUCCAGGUAUGAACUAUAUGUAAAAGCUCUUUCUACUUCUAGUGAGAACCAAAGAGGCUACCUCACUGAAUUUUUCCAUUUGUAAUUUUAAUCGCGUCGAUGAUACCAAAGAUACCAAAGAUUUCUUUCUCUGCACGGUCUGCCUUUUGCUCCUGCUCAUGUAUAGACUGUCUCCUAAGUACAGCUGCAACUCAGAUACCCCAAAGAUCUAAAUGGUCAUGUGCACUGAUUCUAAAUGUGUGUUUUUUUUUCUGUGCUGUUAAAAAUUUCCUUAAUAGAAUCCAUCAUCAGAGAUUAAACGUACUAUAUUUAACGUGUUAGAGAAACUUAAUUGUUGUACUUGUGGUCCAUAUUUUUUAUUCAAAAGAAAGCUAAUGUCACCAGCAUUUUGCUGUUAUUGUGCUUAUUAUGUCAAAUAUUAAUCCAAAAUAUGCAGCAGUAUUGAUUGGAAUUAAUUUAAAAUAAUUUGUAUUUACAAUGUGUGAUUAUGCUGUUUAUUGAAUUCUGUACUUUCUAAAUUAAAAUGAGUAAUUUUUCUGAAGGAACCUAGAAAAUACAAAGUCAAAUUGUUAAUUCAAUGUAAGGCUUGUCGUUAUUCUGAUAUGGUGGCAAGGUGAGUUGGUAAAUCAGCUAUGAUCUGCCACUCAGAUUCUCUUUGUUUGAUUCAGCAAUAUCUAACACACAUACUUCUAUAUUCUUCUCUAUUCUAAACAGAAGAACACAUGGCAUCUAGAGUUAGUUCUGUCAUCGUAAUUCAGGGCCUGAUUUAUUUUUCAUUAGUGCAAUGUCAAUUUAAUUCCUAAAAUAAAACAAACCAAGAAUACAUUUGACCAGUUGUUAUUUAGAUCCUUUUUAAGAGGUUUUGGAUUGAACAACAUAUUUUUAAAUUAAAAUCUACAUGAGAAAAUGGUAAUAGGGAAUAAAACUUAAAUUGCAACAGAAAAUAUCCAUCAGAAUUGAACUCUUCUUUAAAAAAAUUCUUGCACACUGAACCUGAUAUGAGAAUGAAUCUUCUGCUCAUCACCUUAUGAUCUCUUGGGGAAAAAAUUGAGUUAAUUAAAGCAAUUGUGUUUUGCUUGCUGUUUAAUUCGCACUGUCUGUACGUAUACAAAAUUGAAGAAUCCAAAGCUAAAAAGGAUAGAAAUAACUAAUUCAAGUUUAUUUCCUAAUAAACUAUGCAAAGAUUACUUUAUUGCAUUAAAAAUUCCUUGCAUCUAUUUGUAUAAAAUGUACCCUCAUAAACUCAGUUUAUUUUUGCUACCCUAGGGCAGAAAAUAAAAUCUCUCUGAUGUAUAAUCAUGUGAAAUGUUCCCAAGUCUUGAAUUUUUUUUUACAGGAAUUUCAAGAAGAUGGCACCCUUUUAUUCUGGGAAGAUUAAUUUGACUUUAAUUGAACUUAUUUGUACUCAGAUAAUGUCAAUCAAUCCAGUGCCUAGAUUGUUCAAUGUUUUUUGUCUUCGAUAGCAUUAGUAAUUUACCCAAAUCAUAUACCAUUUAUUAAUGCACAGAAAAAAUUAACAAAAACACAUCCUGAAUUAGUGCCCACCGUUACCAAAAUACCUGUUUUCUAAUAUCUAGAUGCACGCUUUAGUUGCAAAGUGUGAUAAACCACGGGACGAGUGCCUUGCUUGAACCAAAGCGGUGUUUCUUUCCAGUUUCGAAACCUCUGUGCAUUUUUUUAUUCCUGUGAAUACCUCAGCUUCAAAAGGCCACCAUUUUUUUUAUUGCUGGUGAGCCCAAUACUGUGGUGCUUUGCAAUGCAACCAUGCAAAGAACUAAACAAAGAUACCAAAGUUUUCUCUCGAUCUCAGUCUCUAUCUUCUUUCUCUUUAAGAUACCAAAGCUUUAAAAAAAACUGAAUUGAGUAGGUUGGCAGCGCAGACCGUGCAUUCCUUACCGAAUUUUCUCAGAUAUACCUCAUAGAUAAUAGUGUCUAGAGUGAUGUUAUUAUAGCAUAUGUAAUAAAUUAUUCACUCGUUUUUUGGUAACUGUGACUAUGAUAUAAAAAAAGCUUUAUACGUUUUAAGUUGUGAUUUUUGUAAUAGUUGACAGGUGCGCUUAUGGAAGGAUUGUAUAUGUUUCAUGGAAUUUGGGGAAGUUGCAGAACUAGCCCAAAGUUUACAGUUUUCAUAUUCUGAAGAAACAAUCCAUUGUUUAUUUUUCUUUGUGUGCGUGUGUAUGUGCAUUUAAGAUGCGUUUAUUUCCACAUUGUCCUACAUAGACUUAUUGACUAAUUGUUAUGUGUUGAAAGUGUAGUGUUAAAAUUAGCAACUGCCAAACAGUGCUAUAAUUUUAUGCAUGAAGCUGUAAAAAAAAAUUUAGCAAAGGUGAUGCAUUGUGAUUAUUGAGAGUAAUAUUUUUUAAUUUAAGGAAAUAGUUUUUUUUUCUUUUUUAAAAAUAGAUUUUAUUUAUGCAUGAGAGCCUGUUAUUUGUUAGACAUUGUGGAACAGUUGUGUAUAUAUUGGACUGUGAAAGCAAACACAGUUGAAUUGAAUACACUGGAUAAGUUGGCGCACAGGGAUUGGGAUGUGUUAAUGUGUCAAUUUAAAAAAAAAACAAAAAUAAGACUUGGAAUAAAGUCAAGUCCUGCACACAGCUAAUACGUUUCUCCAAAUCACACUAUUGUCACUUACAAUGGCUUUCAACGGAUGACAUAACUAUGACAAGAGAAAGCAUUUUCCAGAUUAAGGUAACACCCAAACAAAAUUAAUUCAGUUAUUAGGUAAAAUUUCUGAUGUGUGGAUGUUUAUAACUAGCACUCUUGGCAAUCUGAUCAAGAGAAGUGAUUUUGUUUUAUUAUUUAUUUGCCAAAGACAAGGAUGGAGUACGUAAGUUUAGAUCAGUGAAGAGGCAGUCAGCAGUUGUUUGUUCAUAUAUGUGUAUUUUUUCUUUCUCUUCCAGAAAAUUAUUAGUGUUCUUCCUUAGGAUAAAAGAGUGACUCCUUGUGUAAAAACACAUUUCUAAUACCUAUAUUUUUCAAAUUUGAUUUGGGUAAGAUUAUUGGUUCAAAUCUCACUGAAUCCUUGAACAAAAGGAUUUGAAUGUUUUCCUUAUAAUUUUAAAAGUUUGACAAACAUAAUAGGAGAUGUGAGUUGAUGCAAAGGUUGUUUAUGUAAUAAUCAAUACAGAGUAAAAGGGACUUGAUUAUUAUUGACUAAUGCAUGCCCAGAUUAGUUUUUUUUUGCAUUUUGCUUAAAUCUAAGUCAACAGAGCUUCAGGAAACAUUAUGUGACAAUUGUUAAGAAUACCAUUGUUCUCUUACUCUUAACAUUCAACAAUGAGUGAUUGAAGAGCAUUCAAAGGCUGGGGAGAUGCUUAUUCUUCCGAUUUUGAGGCAACUUUAAUCCUACCUUCCCGUAGGGAAGCUGAAAAUAUCAGGAACAACACUAGUUUUACAAGCAGCCUGAUACUAUUCGCCAAUGGAGAUCAAUGUUGGGUGGAGUGGAAAACUGGUAUUCCAUCCAUUUCUGAUGUUUUUCCACCUGAUGAGGUAGGUUAAAAUAUUCAUAGUGGGUCCCUACUAGUUGUGGUUUCCUGUGACUUGAUUGCUAACGUAUUCACUAAUGUACUUACUUUUCUACUCCUGUCAGUUUCUUUACAAAUGAGUCCAGAUUGAGAGGCAGACUGUAUCUCCAACAGUGGAAACUGACUGGGAGGAAGGUAGCUUUUGGUCUUAAGAACGAAUUUGCCGUGAUUAAUUCUUUUAAUAUCUAUGGAUGUGUUAAGAUGGUUUGCACCUCUUCUUCAUCAUUCAUGGCGUCCUUCCUGUGUUAUGUUUACUGUUGUUCUUUUAUCAUGCUUUCUACUUCAAUUUCUGACAUCCUCCCUAUCUAUUUGAUAAUCUCACUAAAAAAAAUGAGGGGCAAGUUGACAUUUUUCAAUCUCCUUUUGGCUUUGACUCUUAGUAAGAGUAAUUCCACAGAGGUGAUUUUUCAGUAGCAUGAGGUUACACCAAGAGGUUCACUAUCCUGAAGAUCACAGUGCCAUUAUAUUAGCAGAUGAAUACUUUGUACAUUGAUACAAUCUCCUUCUCAGUACUAUUUGUUAAUAUCUUUAUUUAAAGUAGUUUGAUGCAUGCAUCAAAGUAGUAGACAAGAGGAACCUAUAUGUCAAAUUAUUAUCUAUUUAAAAAAAAGUGUCAUCUACAAGAAGCAAUGCAGCAACCUGCUAAGGCUUUUUUGGCAUCACCUCCCAAAUAUGCAACCACUAUCACCUAGGCAUAGCAGCAGGUACAUGGUAACACCACCAACUACGAGUCCCCCUCCAAGUCACAUACCAUCCAGACUUGGAAGUACAUUGUCAUUACUUGCUGCUGAUUCAAAAUCCUGAAAUUCCAUACCUAAUAGCACUUAGAAGUAUCAUUGCCACAUGGAUUGCGCUAAUUCAAAAAGACAGGUCAUUUCUCCCUUUCUAAGGGAAAUUAGGAAUGUGCAUGAAAUGCUACUCUUGUUGGUGAUAUCCACAUCCUAAGAAUAAAUAACAAUAUUAGUAAUAGCAAUUGACUAAGCUGGAUAUGUUUGGCAUAAUCACAACAAGUAGAGCUAAUGAGGUAUGAGGUCAAACUCAAGGUAAAAAAAAAUUAUUGGGAAUUAAUUACUGGUGUUGACAAUGUGGAGCAGAUGAUACAGAGACAAUAGUGGAAGGUAGUGUUGCAAAUUGAAAAAGAAAUUGGUUUGAAUUGGGAGAGAAGGUGAUUGAAGGGCUUGAGAGAAAAUAGUGAAGUAGUCAUUUAUGUAUUGCAUUUCACAGAUUGGUCAGGUGGACUAAGUCAGCUUUGUUUCAUUUUCUAUACCUUGAGCGGAAACAACCUUGUUUGAGAGAUUCUGUGUUAAAUAAGCAGAACUCCAUAUUAGAUUGUGUCCAUACGUGCUGGUGUGCUCCAUACCACACUUGACAGGGUUUGCUAUAAACAGCAUAUACUGUAUACCUGACAUUGAACCACUAAACUCAGUUCAAAAAAAAAUAAUGCCAUGUUUUGGUAUGGCAGAAACUGAUUUAAAUAAAGAUUCUGAAAGCUUAGAGUGAGUGUGGAACAUGAUCAAGUGUCACACCUGAAGUGAUACCCCUUCUUAGUAUUCCACCUGCUGGCAACUCGCUGUGUAUUGUGAACAUGUUCUGAUCUUGAGUAAGUUAAGGUACCUUGAACAGCUGAUCACUUUGGCAGAGUAUUGACCACCAAUAAAACCCAUACUGAAACUAUGUAUUUCUACUAAUACGAUGGGAAUCCUUAAAAAUAGUACCAUCUCUAACUCAACAAUAAAAGGCAAAUUCAUAACUAUGACUGGAGAUUACAGCCAGGGGAAUAGAGAUGUAUUGGACCAAUAAAAUCUUCAGAUCAGUCAUAUUGAAAUUAGUACUUACUUCUUAAAUUAUAAGUAAAAUCAUCUCAGCUCUGGUUGUAAUGGAUUAGCUUCAUGUAAAGCACCCUUAUUCUGUCUCCAGAAAAUUGAUUGUAGGUGGACAAUUUGUGGAAUUGGCCAGCAGCAGCCAGGGUUACCUUUAACAGUAUUCAAGGAAAGUUUACACAAGACUUUCAAAUUGUAACAGAUGCUCAUGUCCUAAUUGUAACGAGUUCCCAAGAACAACAAUUUAUGCACCAAACAUUGAUUCCUCUGAGGAAUUUUUUUCACCCCUUAAAGCAUUUGUAACACAUGUAUCACUGGGCUAGUGGCACAAAACGGGAAGGAUUUCAUCAGCCACCUAAUGUUCAAUUUCAUUGCAAUCAGUGUAUAUUGUUCAUUACCCUGUGUAUAAAGGGCAGCUAAUUCAGUACUCCCCUUUUUACACUACCAACUAAGAUGAAUUUCCAAGACUUCCAAAUUGUGCCUUUACAUAAUAAAAUUAGCAAAAUCAAGGAGAGUUUUUAAAGUGCAUACUGUUCCUCUGAUAAAAAUGUGCCACUUAUUAGUUUUGUACAUUGUAGUAUUAUUGCAACCAUCAGAUUGCUAAAAAAUACUAAUUUAUUAAUAAUUGAUGUUUAAAAACUUUUGUGUAAAGAUUGAGCCAAAAUUCUGGAAGUCUGAAUAAACAUGCUGGAAAUAGACAGCAGUUUCAUCAUCAUCUGAAAGGUUGGCAUUAGAAGUAAAACCUAUUCAUCAAUAUGGAAAUAGGAGGGGUGGGGUAAGGCAAGAAUCUUUACCAGUCUGAACAAAUAAAAUGGAGACAGAAGUACAACAGAGACAAGUUGGCAGUCAUUCAUGUACCUAAUAUCACCAAUGGUCAUUGGACAAGCUCAACCAUUUGUGAAAAUUACUUUAAACAUGUUAAAGCUGAAAAAACAACAUUGAAUAUUCCAAAAAAAACACAAAUGCAGGCUUUCUUGUGAUAGUAGAAAGCAUCAUAGCAGGCCUGUUUGCAGGAACUUGGAGGGCACACAUGUAUUAAACAUCUACACAUUAAACAUCUACACACGUGUACUCAUUUUAAAAUGAUAAUGAUUGCAUGGACAUGGUGCCCCUGUUAACCACCCUGCAACACCCUUGCAAGUCCCAGGGUACCAGACCAUUAACUGUCUAUUCUCUUAUCUCCUCUUGGUUUAGUUCACUUCAAAGGAGAAGCUCACUCUCCUUUUCAUUUCCAAUUCUGAGAAAAUCUGUACCUGAAAUGCUAGCUUAGGUUUUUACUCUUAACAGUAUUACAAAGACUUCCCAUUAAUAUAAUUGAAGUUACUUGCAAAUGAGAGAAUAUGGCUAACAAGAAAUAAAAUAUUUGGAUUCUUAUAACCAUCAGUGAUUAUAAGUUUGAAAUUAAUUUGAGAAAUCCAUCAAAGGUGUUUUGAAAACAUUGAUUAAAAUAACCUUGUGAAACUAGGCUGUUAAUCACAGGUCACUCUGGACCUCAGCACAUACUGUACUUCGGAGACUCCAUAGACAAUCUUAAUUUCAGGAGGCACAAUGAUCUGAGAAUUAAAGCAAAAUGUGGAAAACCAUUGGGCAAUUAAAUAAUAAUGAGUCUCUUGGAUAAAACCACAGUAAGUCUAGAAAUGAAAUCUCCAAACAAAUAAAGCCCAAGAAAUAGCAGGUUAUGCUGAAAAGUUAACAAUAUAUGAUUUUGUCAAUCUUUUGGGACAUGCAAUAAAUUCAGAGUUGUGGCAUUUGUGAUCAUGAACCUUUUGCUUCUGGAAAAGAAACAUGAAUUCUGAUUAUAUCUCUUAACAAUAUUUUAGUUUCAUCUCCAGGACUGAAUCCUGUUCUCUUCAAGCUAUUUGUUCGUACUGUUAAAUAAUAUUAAAAAUCAUCUGAAAAAUAUAAGAAAUUCAGUUAUGCAAUUUAUUGAUGUGAACACCUUGGAAUCUUUAUAAUCCAAAGCUGCACAUUUGCACCAUUUUAAUUCAAUUACUCUUCUAAAGUGCUAUCUGAAGUUUGCCAAUCCCUACAAUAAAAAAAAUCCACAGAUUUUUUUCAAUUAUACCUGCUAUCCACUGCUUGGUAUAGCUGUUUGUAAGAAAUGUUGAAUUAGUAUUCAAUUGCUGUUUACAAAAAUAAUGAAAUAUUUGCAAUCACCAUAUCUCUAAUAUGUCCCUGUCAUCUCAAUAUUUUAAAAUUAUUUUGCUUAUGACUUGAUUACUUAUUACAAUGUCAAUUAUGAUGGCUAUUAUUAUAUCAGGAGACUUUGUCCAAUAUUUUCAGGUCCAUUCCUAACUAUUCAUUUCUCAUAUAAUCCUUACUGUGAGUAUCUUCUUAUAUGUGGGCAAUUAACUAUUCUGCAGGCAGGAUAUAAGUAUUAGUUAACAAGAAAAAUGCCUUCUGGUCCAACCUUGAAGUCUUCUGGAAUAAGCAUAGAAUAAUCUUCAUCUUCAAAGCAGGUGGAUCUGUAACGGAGAAAGAGGUUCCCUUAAAUAAUGUUAUCUUGUUGAAGAAGGAGGGGGCGUAUUAACCUGUCAGUUAAAUUCCAGCACACCAUAUUUAAUCAAUUAGCAACAUUAGAGACAUGUCACUGGAUGAGAGUGUAUCGGGCUGUAAAUAGGGAGUAGGGAAUAUAUUGAGGGACUUUGAACAUAACCCUGCACCCUGAAAAUAAUAUCUUGGGUUACAGUACAAUUAAAUUGAGAAUUAAAGCGAAAUGUGGAAACCUCAUAGAAAUUUCAAAUUGCUUUUGAAAUAUAAUUUUCCCUCCCUGAAAUUAAUAAACAAAGCUAAAACCAUUGGGCAAUGAAAUAUUAACGAGUCUCUUGGAUAAAACCACAGAAAGUCUGAAGUAUUAUUUUGAUACAUUUAGUUUAUUUUCAUUACUGUUUCAUUGCUUUAUUUUGUUAUCAACAUUCAUUUAAACCUGCUUUGGAGUUAUCACACCUUAUCAUUGGGUGCACCCAUGAUACAUCCAUUUUCUUGUACUGCAGUGAUUGCAGGGUGAUUCAUGCUGAAGGAACCAUAUGAGGUCAUCUGCUUUUAAUUUAGUUUGGCAUCAGAUGCUGUAUUAUUAAAAAAUUAAUUCUAGAAAAUCUUUAAAUUUUUAUCUUUGUUUAAUGUUAAUGAAGUGGCCACUGUAUCAUCAUUCCAUUCCCAAAGUUUAUAAUGUCACUAUUGUUCAGCAAAGUUCAACACUGUGCAGAACAGGAGUGACCCUGGGGUGGAAUUGGUUGUUGGGGUGUGCAUUGGUGGCUGUUGAAUGGCUAGUGUUUCACUCUGAAUAUGAUGGUGGGCAUUUAUUAUUUGGAAGCACUGAGAGUCCAUUCCUUGAAUGUUGGAUGGAGGUAUCUGAGACCUCAGAAACCCAGCCUGCCCUAAGACAGGUGAUAAGUGCAAAGGUGCCAGGGAACUUGCACAUAAGUUGUGUGCUAUGGCUUAUGAAGCAUCCAAUCCUGAGGUUCAUUGCAUGGCUGUCCUGUUUCCAUGGCAUCUGAUUAGAUUGGGAAGCUGGUAUUAAAAAAAUAAUCAACCUGUUCUGCCUUUUGGUCUCUUGGCAACUUAGGUCACACUUUCAGUGCCCAUCUGUCCUCCCAGAUACCAGUAUAGUUUCUGCUCACACUAAAAUUGUGGCCUCUGCGUGUGGUGAGAGGUGUACUCUGAAUACCAAUGAGUAAUACUGAUUGAAUGGCUUAACAGAAUCUGUGUAAUCAGCUCAUUAACCCUGUAGAGCCAAUGGUAUAGAACAUAUGCCACCAUAACUGCCCCACUACUCAAAGUCAAAUAUACAAAGUCAAAUAUACAAUUGUGCAGAAUUCUACUCAAUCCUUAACUUAUCUCAUUUGGGAUGUUUCCAGACAGAGACCAGACACUUCUCCAGUCUAACUCAGUUAUGAGUAUAAGGUGUCAAACUCCUUUCUGCUGUAUAACCUGACUAUCAAUAUAUCACUGUCACUAUGGCAGCCUCCUUAAUGGGCCUUCUCAGUCCUUGCUAACUUUGUGCUGUUCACCUUUCAAUACUUAAAUAAGUUUGAACUAAAUUUCAUACUUUAUAUGUGGGUGUUAUAGCACAAGGAAUCACAAACAGCAUUUAUAAAAUGUGCUUUUCAAGACUAUGCAAAGGAAAACAAAGUCAAAUAUACAAUUGUGCAGAAUUCUACUCAAUCCUGCCUGUUAGUGUUUGCAAAAAGUGGAUGAACAGAACAAACUUUGACAGUAACUGUUUUCAUUCCUCUAGCAGCGUGAUUAAAAAUACAAUUUUUUUGCGUAAACUCACAUUCUCCUUUAAUUAAUUGUUCUAAAUAAACACACAAUGCUCAUUGUUAGUUAAGUUCUUCUCAUGUUUUUAUUAUUUAUUAAGCUUAAUGUUUGCGCCUGACGCUGUGCAAUAUCCGUAGCUGUGUAAAACGCGAGUUACAACCUGCUGUAUCAGUGUUACGUGUUUCAACUAUUGCAUAGUUUAAGCUUUUAUUGUCGUUGAUGUUGAUGUAUCCGGGCACUUUAAAAACCUUUGAUAGGUUCCCAAUACUUUAGUUUCCGUUGCUUGUUUGUAUACUGUUUUCUUGCUGUUUAAACAUAUGCCCUCCAUCAGAUGCAUAAGUGUUGUCUGCAUCAUGCUGGAAUAUGUUUUUUUAAAUUGUUUUUUAAAUUUUCGCUAUCAUCAAAUGGUAGUGCUGUAAAUUCUGCAAUUAUUGUCCAAUAAACUGCUUUUAUUC